AUUUUGAUUUGCAAUUUUGAUGGCUUUUGCCCUUCUGAAACUGAAACGUUCCACCUGCAUCGAACCCAAAUCGACACAACCUCCUUCAACACCUGAACUCGCGACAGCAUUCCUUCUUCCUCAGCCGAGCCAUCGCUGCUACCGCUUCUUCUUUCCCCAGCCAAACUACCUUCCCUUUCUCCUCCCCUACCUUCGACCAAAUCCAUCAAUCUCACUAUGGUGAAAUCGACACCGCAUGAUGAAUGUGUAAAGAAGCUCUUAUAUUUGAUUGUUUGAUUUACAGUAAUUGAACAACUUUCUGGGUGGUGCUCUGAAUAAGGAGGCCCUGUAAAAUUUGAAAAUUGUGAGAUAUGAUACAGGUUUUGGCCAAAUCAAAGUUAAAGUUUUGUCCGCGGCUCAUCUCUUUACAUCGCAAUCUGCAGCUCAUCUGUUUAGUUGUUGUCACGCAUACUGCAGCCCCACCUUCACCAGCAUGGGCGAUGAGAUGGAGGUCCUGAGGGCUCCAGCGGCUUGCGAGGUAGGGGGAGGAAAGAUGGUUGGGUAAGAAGAUGUAGAAGACACGAUCUGUGUCGUCCUACAUGGCGAACUGAGAAACCUAUUCCGUUGAUUAGGGACUUCAAUUUUUGGUGCAUUGUGAAUCCGUGUAUCUCUCAUGCUUUGACUUCUGGAUUUGGAAAAAUCCCUUGAUUCUGUUUUUGUGAAUCUCUAUCUCUCUCACGCUUCCACACAGGCUUCUACCCACAAUCUCCUGGAUUUGUUCGAAUCCCAAUCUUCUGGAUUUGGAAAAAUCCGUUGAUUCUGUUUAUUCUUCGCAGUUUGUUCUUCACAGGUACCUUAUGAAUCCCUUUCUCUCUCACGCUGAGGCGUUUCUAGAAACAUUCUUGCUUUGAAUCUGCUUCUCAGCAUUGUGUUACUCUUAAAGAACUGCAAGGCUGAUUCUAAGUGCACACCUCAUCCAGGUGCGGAAGGAGAUGUGGUUCUUCAAAGAGAGAAAGGGAACUGAGGAAUGAGAAGUAAGAGAGAAAUAUAGCUAGGUUAGAGCUAACUGAGAGAGAAAGGAAUAUUGUUGAGGUGGUUGUGACAAAUGGAGAUGUUUGGUGAUCUACUUCCUCUCACCAUUUUAUAGUGCUAGAGACCAUGUUGAUAGCAAUAGCAAGGGUGUUGUUCCAGGUAAGUAGGACUGCGCCAUAUAUACUUAUUGUAAGUAUCAAGCAUCAAGGGUGAGUUCAUUAAAAGCACAUUAUAAUUAUUAAUUGCAUUAAAAUAUUGAGUUUAGUAUUUUAUUACUUUUACUGCAAACUGAUUAUGAAUCUGUAAUUUUGGUUAAAAAUGUAUUUAUAACUUAUUUAUAUGCUCUCCUCACAGAUAUCUCUUGGCAUUGGGAUCUUUACAAGCCAGGAUCUUAUGGCUUCCAACAUGAAGGCAGUCUUUCCUAAUUUAAGUAUAGGAAAAGACAUACAAAGCAUAGGAGCAGAUCUCAUGCUGGAAGAGAAAAAGUUGGUUAUGAAAUCAGUCUUUCCUGAAGUAAGGUUGGAUGUGCUAGCCGCGAGCCUUCUGCAGGUUUUUCGAAUGCAAACCAAGGACCUGAAAUAUAAUGAGUGAUGUUUCUGAUGAGCUUAGAGCCUAAAUUUGAGCCAUGUUGGUGACUAACUUAUAAAAGCUGCAUAGGGUUGCCAACUAUUGUUUUUCCUCUUUAUUAUUGUGUACCGUUGUUCCAUCAGACAUAAAUUGAUUUCUACUUGGUUCCUUUA